CCCUUAGACGCUCUAGGCGGCACGCGCGCUACACUGACGGAGCCAACGAGUACUUUCCUUGUCCGGAAGGACUGGGUAAUCUUGUGAAACUUCGUCGUGCUGGGGAUAGAGCAUUGCAAUUAUUGCUCUUCAACGAGGAAUUCCUAGUAAGCGUGAGUCAUCAGCUCGCGUUGAUUACGUCCCUGCCCUUUGUACACACCGCCCGUCGCUACUACCGAUUGAAUGGCUUAGUGAGCCUUUGGGAUUGGCAGCUUGUACCGGCAACGGUAGCAGGCCGCUGAAAACUUAGGCAAACUUGGUCAUUUAGAGGAAGUAAAAGUCGUAACA
rnacentral:rRNA from 1 species